GACGAACGCUGGCGGCGUGCUUAACACAUGCAAGUCGAGCGGUAAGGCCUUUCGGGGUACACGAGCGGCGAACGGGUGAGUAACACGUGGGUGACCUGCCCUUCACUCUGGGAUAAGCCUGGGAAACUGGGUCUAAUACCGGAUAGGACUACUGGAUGCAUGUCUGGUGGUGGAAAGCUAGUUACUUUUGUUUCUGGCGGUGGGGGAUGGGCCCGCGGCCUAUCAGCUUGUUGGUGGGGUGANGGCCUACCAAGGCGGUGACGGGUAGCCGGCCUGAGAGGGCGACCGGCCACACUGGGACUGAGACACGGGCCCAGACUCCUACGGGAGGCAGCAGUGGGGAAUAUUGCGCAAUGGGCGGAAGCCUGACGCAGCGACGCCGCGUGGGGAUGACGGCCU
rnacentral:rRNA from 1 species